UAAACCAAACGAUCCUCUUCAACCAACAACCCUAACCAAACCAUCUCUUCAACCAUCGCCGCCGCCUCACCCCCAUCACGUCACGUCCGUCACCUCACCUCCACCACGCCCAUAUCCCACAAAAUCCGCUACCUACACCCCUCUUCUCCUUUCUCACACUCCAUCUCUGAAGCUUGCAGGCUCCAUGUGCGAUUUCAGCGGAUUUCAUGCUCUUCAAGAGGAUUCGGAGACUCGAGACGACAACAAGCCUCAGUUCGCUGUCACGGAGAAGGUAGCCACACUCGUCCUCUCUUCGUCUUUCAUUUUAUAAGAAGUAGAAAUGUAGUCGUUCAAGUGUUUCUCGUCGUUUACUUGGUUUGGUUGGCUGGAAUGUGUUCUCUCUUCGUUUGUUGUAAAUUAACGUGAAACGACUAAUUUCGUCGAAUAUGUGUUUAACUCCCGUCGCCCCGUCGCUGCCGUCAAAAGAUAAUACUUGAACCCCAUUUUAUUCCUAUCAUUCAUUUUCGCAUUAGCAUAUAAGUGUUUAUUUUGGUUUGUUCUGUGAAGAUUUAUUUUAAAAUAGGUAGCCUAAUGUUGGCAGAAAAGUGGUGUUGUUUUAAGCUUUAAAGGUUGUUGGCAAUUGUUUGAGUACUACAGUACUGUUGGUUUAGCUGCUAAUAUGAUUUAUGCUUUGCUUCUCUCAUUAUGAUUACUUUAGGUUAGUACUAAUGCAAGAGCUGAUUCACAAGUCAGUAUGAGAAUGAAUUAGCAUGAAUAUUGUUUGGUAGCUGUGGAUAUACCUUUGGUUUAAAUUAUUCAUCAAACCAUUCAAUUAUUCAUCAUGAUUGGUCUGAAUAAGUGUCAAACGAAGUACUAAUCUGAGAUUGUGACAUGAGCAUGAGAUUAUGAUGUUUAGCCUGUCUGUCUUCCUUAAAAGCUGCUUGUUAAACCUGAGAGGAAUGUGGUCUAACCUCUGUCUGUGGAAGGCCAUUGCCUUAAGCCAGAACUAGGGCUAUUCUUUACAAACAGACCAUGUUUAAUUGAUCUGAUCUCUCCCUUGUGACCAUAACAGUGAUUACAGUUUGCUUAUGUGUCUGUUUAAGUGGGUUAAUUAAAGUCUUAAGAGGUCUUCUUUUGUUUAAGUAAAGUAGGAAUCUGUAAGUGUAGAAAUCUCUUAGGAUUCAUAGGUGUUAAAGGAAUUAAAACAGUGUUUAGGUUGCAAAGUUCACUAAUAAACUCAUUUAGCUUUCAAAAACUCAAAAUAUAGUGUUUCCAGUUUUGAAACCUCAUUGAUACAGCUUUCAGUUCAAAGUCUUUUUCUUAACCUUGCUAGACUGUCUGUGUAAUUGUAAAACUAAGAUGUAGUUGAGCCCCUUUCCUUUCUUUCUGAAAUGCCAAUAGCUUAAAGUUUGGAUAUGUGGCAACCUUGUAUAUAUGUGUUUUGUUAUGACCAAACUGCUAUUCUUUGUUCAAAAGUGUUAGUUUACCCUUUGGCUCUAAGUUCCCAGUUAUAUGUGCUUAAUUGGCAAUCUCUGUAUUUUUAAGUUUGGAAACGAAUAUGAAUUGGUUUAUAUGCCUAUGUACUCACAUGCAUGAAACAUGGAUUUGAGAAGAUCUAGUGACUGCUUUUGUUGCUUUUAUAUGUCCAUAAGUAUGAAUAAUGAACUUAUGAAGCCUGUUGAACUUGUUAAGGGUUCGCGAGAAUUCUUGGCUGUUUAAGCUAGCACAUUUCUGACUUGAAAAGUUCCUUUAAACGCUCUGUUAAAUCACUUAAGAAACUUAGUUAAGGGCCUACAUGUUUUAAUGACUAAAAGUUGCAUACUCUUAAAAACAAUUUCACCUGCUUGUUGUAUAACAGCUUUGUUGCAUUCUAGCUAUGCCUUAAUAUCACUAAAAUAAAUCAAUUUUGAAUAGCUUUGUGGGUUUAGAAAAGUCACUGUUCUGAUCGGUUUUUUUUUUUUUUUUUUAAUCAUUUUUGGCUGAACCAAAAGUUACUGAUACAUGAAGAUUAAAUCUACCAAACAUGUAAUUGUUUGAAUAGCUUCGUCGCUCGUCCAAAUUCUUCUUUGAAGUGUUUACGUGAAUCCAUUUUGGGAUGAGUUGGCUACUGUUGAUUACUACUUGUUGCUGUGAGAUUUCUUUAGAUUGCUGCACUUUAAAGGCUCUCAAAGUGCUACAUUUUUUGGAAAAAUUAGCUGCUGUCUUACUGUCUAAAAUUAGCUGCUGUCCAAUGUUUGUUAUAUCCUAUUGCUGCUGCUUUCUUGCCAUUUACCGCUGCCCUUCAAGGGCAGAUUGUUGGCCUGAAUGUUGAAUACUUUGAAGUUGAGCUAUGCCACUAAGUGAACUGUUGCAUUUUGGCCCAAAUGUGUUGUGUGUCUAGCCUAAACUUUGCCUAAUUUGCUGCUCCUUUUAAAGCUUUAAACCUGUUGAUAUUUGGUUUCUGCACUUGAGACCUCUCUGGUGCUGUUACAUAUUGGGCUCUUGGUUAUAAAGAAUAAAGGUUACACUUGAGUUAUUUUUUUUUUAAUCGAAAACAGAAGGCUGCUGGCACGCCCAGUGGGAAAUCAGAAAUAGUAAAAUAAAAAUAAAUCAUACGUUUAGUUUGGUUGCUGGUGUACCUCUUUUGGGUCUGAUUGUUGAGACUAAAAAUCAAGAAUAUGUUCCUCUAUUUCGAGCUUAAAUGACUUAAUUUUUAAGACUUUGGAACACUUAAACUUGCAUUAAAAAAAAGGGAGUGGGGCUCCUAUACUCAAGUUCGGGUGCAAUUAAUAUGCUAACUUAUUUUUUCCUUAUUUGAACCUAGAGAAAAUAUGCUAAGUAUCUCUGGAUAUAUGUUGUUUGGGAAUAAGCCAAUAUGAUGUUUUGAAGUCUAGAGUAAGCUUUAGUUUAAUCAAAAGUUCUUGUUGUACAUUUAGCUUGAAGCGUUUGGUUGUUUGAGUAGCAAUUGGGACUAUAAUGAUCUUCUUUUAAACUGAUCGUGGUGUUGCGUUUUGAGAAUAUGACACGAGAAAGCCUUGUCUUACAUUUGAUUCUUUUAUCUAGCUUUUAUCAAUUAAAGUUAUAUAGACUUCUUUUUCCUUGUUGAGAAUAGUUUCUAAUCCUUACUUUUAUCUUUUUUUUUCUUUUUCAUGAGGAACCUUGGGAGCAUUUGGAGUUAUGGCAACUCCGGAUUCUGCCCAUAUCAGAGAACAGUCAGUUGUAAGAUUUAAUUGCUCGUGUCUAGCCGUCCCCUACUUUCUCAUCUCGAGUUUCCGCUCUUCCUUUAUUCAAAAUUUCUAGCCUUCAUAUUGUUUGAUACGUGCUAUUUAUAUUAUUUGACUUAACACUCUUGUGAAUUUGUAUUUUUGUAGUUUUGUUUUGAAUUCGUAACUCGACUUAAGUAUGUUAGCAACUUUAGUUAUUAUC